CCUUUGACGUUAGCGGCGGACGGGUGAGUAACACGUGGGUAACCUACCUAUAAGACUGGGAUAACUUCGGGAAACCGGAGCUAAUACCGGAUAAUAUUUCGAACCGCAUGGUUCGAUAGUGAAGGAUGGUUUUGCUAUCACUUAUAGAUGGACCCGCGCCGUAUUAGCUAGUUGGUAAGGUAACGGCUUACCAAGGCGACGAUACGUAGCCGACCUGAGAGGGUGAUCGGCCACACUGGAACUGAGACACGGUCCAGACUCCUACGGGAGGCAGCAGGG
rnacentral:rRNA from 1 species